rnacentral:lncRNA from 1 species
GGGGUUAUGACAUUAACUAGCGAGUUGAAGGUGCUGCAGACACACCAGAGCUAAACGCUGUUCUCAGCAGCUCGGAUUAACAGGGAUUAUCUCGCCUGGGUUUCUGAGUGACCGCACGUGCGAGGAGGUGUGGAGAGUGAGGCAGGAGUAAGAGGAGAAAAAGCGGUGGAGGAAUGGAAGGAUGGCGUUUAGAGAAGUGGACAUGGAUACUGGAUCUGUGUAGGAGAACUGAUUAUCUGCUGAGAUGAUCCAGAUGCUACUGUGGCUUUCUUGUGGAACUUUCACCAUGUUGAGUGGUCUGACCAAAACUCCUGAGGAAAAUGUGUGAUAUUGCUGGAGUGGAUAAAACAACUUUUCAAUGGACUUUCAUUGGUAAUACCUCCAUGAUGCAUCAGUGGCUAAAAAUGAAAAAUAAAUUAAAGGAAUCAAGCAAACUGUCAGACUCAUCCAGCCUCUUUGUGUACAGGUCUGGUGGCUGAAAACGGAAUGAAAUUUAAGUUCAAGAAUGUUUUACUGUCCUUCUGUCAAAAAUCAGCUGGAACUGUUUUACACAUGAGGAGAUCCACGUAUUGGUGGGCGGUGUAAAGAAAGCGCUUUCAAAAAGAGGAAAGAAAAAAACU